rnacentral:rRNA from 1 species
AGAGUUUGAUCCUGGCUCAGGAUAAACGCUGGCGGCGUGCCUAACACAUGCAAGUCGGACGAAGCAGUAGCAAUACUGACUGAGUGGCGGAAGGGUGCGUAACACGUAGGUGACCUACCUCAUCCCAGGGAACAACCAGUCGAAAGACUGGCUAAUACCCAAAAGGCUCGGUGAUUCAUUUUGUCGAGCAGAGUCGCAAGGCGGGAUGAGAGGGGCCUGCGGCCCAUCAGCUAGUUGGUAGGGUAACGGCCUACCAAGGCAACGACGGGUAGGGGGUCUGAGAGGACGUCCCCCCACACUGGAACUGAAACACGGUCCAGACGCCUACGGGUGGCAGCAGUGAGGAAUAUUGGUCAAUGGGCGAAAGCCCGAACCAGCAACGCCGCGUGGAGGAUGAAGGCCUUCGGGUUGUAAACUUCUUUUAGGGGAGACGAGCAAGGACGGUAUCCCCGGAAUAAGCCACGGCAAACUACGUGCCAGCAGCCGCGGUAAUACGUAGGUGGCGAGCGUUAUCCGGAUUCACUGGGCGUAAAGCGCUUGUAGGUGGUUCUGUAAGUUGGGUGUGAAAUCUUCGGGCUUAACUCGGAGUGGCCGCUCAAUACUGCAGGACUUGAGGAUGUCAGAGGGAGAUGGAAUUCCUGGUGUAGUGGUGAAAUGCGUAGAUAUCAGGAGGAACACCCGUGGCGAAGGCGGUCUCCUGGGGCACUCCUGACACUGAGAAGCGACAGCUAGGGGAGCGAACGGGAUUAGAAACCCCGGUAGUCCUAGCCGUAAACGAUGGAUGCUGGGUGCUGGCAGAUCUAACCCUGUCUGUGCCGAAGCUAACGCGUUAAGCAUCCCGCCUGGGGACUACGAUCGCAAGAUUAAAACUCAAAGGAAUUGACGGGGACCCGCACAAGCAGCGGAGCGUGUGGUUUAAUUCGAUACUACACGAAGAACCUUACCCGGGUUUGACAUAUAGGUAGUAGUGAACCGAAAGGGGAACGACCCGCAAGGGAGCCUGUACAGGUGUUGCAUGGCUGUCGUCAGCUCGUGUCGUGAGAUGUUCGUUUAAGUACGCUAACGAGCGCAACCCUUACUGCCAGUUACACGUGUCUGGCGGGACUGCCGGCCACAAGCCGGAGGAAGGCGAGGACGACGUCAAGUCAGCAUGGCCUUUAUAUCCGGGGCUACACACACGCUACAAUGGGUAGGUACAAUGGGUCGCCAAGCCGCGAGGCGGAGCCAAUCCCAAAAAAACUAUCCUCAGUUCAGAUUGCAGGCUGCAACCCGCCUGCAUGAAGUCGGAGUUGCUAGUAAACGCGCGUCAGCUAUAGUGCGUUGAAUACGUUCCCGGGUCUUGUACACACCGCCCGUCACACUAUGGGAGCUGGCAAUACCUGAAGCCGGUAGCCCAACCGCAAGGAAGGCGCCGUCAAAGGUAGGGUUGGUGACUGGAGUGAAGUCGUAACGAGGUA